ACAUUGAAACACCAGUUUCCAUAUGAUUGCUGAAGUUAAGCAACAUUGAGCCUGGUCAGUACCAAGAUGGGUGACCACUUGCCAAUACUAGGUGCUGUA